GAAAGAAGUAAGGCCUCUGGAAGACGACCAGGUAGAUAGGCUGGAGGUGGAAGUGCAGCAAUGUAUGGAGCUGACCAGUACUAAUCGGCCGAGGUCUUGAUCUA
rnacentral:rRNA from 1 species